GGAGCACUACUGACCCUGCCUUGGGCCUUGCUGCUGCUGCACCCAACUACUGAGCUGAGACCACUGAGUACCAGGGGCUGGGCUCCCUGAUGACACCCACCCUGUGCCAUCACCAUAACCUCUGGGGACCCCAACCUCAGAGGCAGCUUCAAGUGCCUUUUGCUGCGCACCAAUGCCCAGCAGGGGAGUUGUGUUGAGACAGAGUCUUACUCUGUUGCCCAGGCUGGAGUGCAGUGGUGCAAACACAGUUCACUGCAGUGGCAACCUCCCAGGUUCCAGUGAUCCUCCUGCCUCAGCCCCGAGUGGCCGGGACUACAGGUGUGAACACUGUGCCCAGCUAAUUUAUUAAAUUUUGUUGUAGAGA
rnacentral:lncRNA from 10 species